AACGCACAUUGCGCUUCCUGGUAUUCCGGGGAGCAUGCUCGUUUCAGAAUCAUUGAAACCUCACAAACCAGCUGCAGGUAACUCUGUACCUGGCAAGUGGAUGUGGGCGUGUUGCGUAUGCUUUGGCAACUACAACCGCCUUAAAAUGAUUUUGUGUUGAACCCAUUGCCUUUGCAACAGGUUGUCUCAAAAGUGCAACAAUUGUUUAACACUUUUUAGCAUCUGACUGCAAAUAUGGGAUCAGCAUAUUCACCCAACCUAAUUGGGGAUGGAUAGCGCAAGCUUCUAUCUUUGAUAACUUGGUCUGAAAUCGAGCAAGAAAACCCGCUGAACUUAA
rnacentral:misc_RNA from 1 species